AAUUUUGGACAAUGGGCGCAAGCCUGAUCCAGCCAUGCCGCGUGAGUGAAGAAGGCCUUCGGGUUGUAAAGCUCUUUCGGACGGAAAGAAAUCGCGCAGGCUAAUACCCUGCGCGGAUGACGGUACCGUCAUAAGAAGCACCGGCUAACUACGUGCCAGCAGCCGCGGUAAUACGUAGGGUGCGAGCGUUAAUCGGAAUUACUGGGCGUAAAGCCGUCGCCGGGGGUUUGUUUAAGCCGGGCUUGAAACCCCCGGGUUUACCUGGGGAACUCGGCUUGUACUGGGUAAGUUGGAUUCCGGAAGAGGGGGUUGGAAUUCCAGGGUUGGCGGUAAAAGGCUUAGAGAUGUGGGGGACCCCCGUGGGCAAAGGCAGCCCCCUGGGCGGUUACUACCGUUCAUGACCGAAAGCGUGGUUAGAAAACAG
rnacentral:rRNA from 1 species